rnacentral:lncRNA from 1 species
CUGGUGGAGGGUUGGAGCAGGACGUGGCUGUGUAAGUGUGUGCACAGGGCUGACAGUACCCGAGGGGAAAGAGGGACUGGACGUCAGGGAGCGCAAGAUCACCAGGGCUUUUGUGUGAGGAGCGAACAACUGCCAUUUCUGGGUUUCUUGAAAGAUUACCACUUUGAGUACACGGAGUGCGACAGCAGCGGCUCCAGGUGGAGGGUUGCCAUCCCCAACUCUGCCGUGGACUGCUCCGGCCUGCCUGACCCCGUGAGAGGAAAGGAGUGCACCUUCUCCUGCUCCUCCGGGGAGUACCUGGAGAUGCGGAACCAGGUGUGCAGCAAGUGCGCCGAGGGCUCCUACUCCCUGGGCAGCGGCAUCAAGUUUGACGAGUGGGACGAGCUGCCGGCGGGGUUCUCCAACGUGGCGACCUUCAUGGACACGGUGGUGGGGCCCUCGGACAGCAGGCCUGGCAGCUGCAGCAAGUAAGACCCAGGAAGCCGGGCGGGACCCGGGGCUUGAGAGGGGUUGCCGAGGACAACCCUGGCCCUGCUGGGCCAGGACAGAAGCUAAUUGUAAAGAGGCACACUGGUGGCCUGUCCUUACAGAUCACGCAGCUGCCUUUGCAUGAAGUUAAAACGACGGCCCUCAGGGUAGAGUUGGUGCUGUGUGCACACGGCAGCGCGGCAGUCAGAGAAGCAAGCCCACUCUCUCGUAAUGUAACUACGCUGAAGUCCGUGGUGCUUCUGCUAACCAUCCUCCACCUUCUAAUGGGGAAUUUCAGGUUCUCCUUUGGAGGGAAG